UGGAACAGCGGGCUUGUUUGAAAUGGAAAAGCGUCCGGGUAGCUUUUGAUAGAGAAGAACACGAAGACGAAGCAGCUGCUUUAUAAGUGGGAUGCGCUGUUGAGCGCAACAUCCCGAGGGGUUCGUGCUAAUUGUACGGACAUUGUGACAGCUGGUUAAAUUGCACGCCUUGAGAAGGCAAUAACAAGAUGUAUGUCUGGAGAAGUGCUUUGUUGUCAUAACGAGAGCUCCAAAUAAAGACUCUUCACACCUACCACCCUUCUCUUCAGACCACUCAGACCCACACCUACCACCCUUCUCUUCAGACCACUCAGACCCACACCUACCACCCUUCUCUUCAGACCACUCAGACCCACACCUACCACCCUUCUCUUCAGACCAUUCAGAUCCACACCUACCACCCUUCUCUUCAGACCACUCAGACCCACACCCACCACCCUUCUCUUCAGACCACUCUGACCCACACCUACCACCCUUCUCUUCAGACCACUCAGACCCACACCCACCACCCUUCUCUUCAGACCACUCAGACCCACGCCUACCACCCUUCUCUUCAGACCACUCAGACCCACACCCACCACCCUUCUCUUCAGACCACUCAGACCCACACCUACCACCCUUCUCUUCAGACCUACGGCUGACAUCUUUAGUCUCUCUAUCUCUCUCUCUUUCUUUCUAUCCAUCCUCUUGAUACAGAUCUCUUGAUCCAUCCUCUGGCUGCAUUUUAAGUAAGUGGAGACUUUUUCUCUUUUAAUUCAGCUUUCUUCCCAUUUCUUGUGUUUUCAAAAACAAACCAGGUUGUAGUUUUAAAAUGCAAACCAACUGGAGGAGAUUAUUCAAAAAUGGUAUCUUAAAAUAAGUAACAAAAUCCCACUGGCCCAGGUAUUGUAUCAUCUGUAACCAAAUCCCACUGGCCCAGGUACUGUUUCAUCUGUAACCAAAUCCCACUGGCCCGGGUAUUGUUUCAUCUGUAACCAAAUCCCACUGGCCCAGGUACUGUUUCAUCUGUAACCAAAUCCCACUGGCCCGGGUACUGUUUCAUCUGUAACCAAAUCCCACUGGCCCAGGUACUGUUUCAUCUGUCAACUAAUGACACUCAUUGCACUGUGGUCCUGAGACUAUGGCAGGUAGCCUACAUCUAGGUUACAAUAGUAGUCAACAGUUAGUAUGACACAUUACGUUACAGUGUGGCAGGUUAAAGCCUCAGGCUUAGUUUUAUUACUAGACGAGGUCCAUUAUCAGAUCUGACCCAUAUGAUUCAGUCAUUGAAACCCAUGUCACCUUCAAACACAUACACAGCACUUCUUUAGUGGGUUUGAGAAGGUUCAGGGCUUGAUGUUUAAUGUGAGCUCAACGUUAGCUGCUUAGUUGGCCAAACUCUCUUUAUUAAUUGCUAUUGUUAGUAUAGUUUUUAUCUCACAGUCUCUAGUUCUCCUUCUCAAUUCAAGCCCAUUGCCAGAGUGGACCUCCCUGGUGCAUUCCAUCAGUCAAAGUUGUGUAUAGGGCUAUUCUUUCUGACACUUUUGUAUCCACCUUUCAUGCAGAAUGUCUCCUGGCUCCAGCCGUAAGCUGUGUCCUAGUUGUAACACAUCAAUAGGAGUAGCAUCAAAGAAGUGCACGUUCUGUGGUGCAACAAUACAGCUAAAGGUCAAGUUAGAGGCCCAAAAAAGGAAGGCUACAGAUGAAUGGGAAAAUAAGACAAUGAAACAUGGAAGGUACAUAGGUUCCACAAGGUAGGAGUGUACCCCCUGCUACACUUUGUCGUCGACUGCACUGUGUCCUCACAGUGGUAUGACGAGUCAGACCUCAAUGGCAACAAUCCAAAGGUUGUAUGAGGCAAUUGUGAAAGGUAUUUGGACAGAAAUAUGUAUGUUUGUCUACCUUAAUAAGUCUCUAUCCCUCAACCACCACAUCCGUCAGACUGUAAAAAACGAAUUAUUCCACUUAGACAAAUUCGCCAAAGUCAGCCCCUCCCUCUCCUGUACUGCGGGCCGAACCUCUCAUCCAUGUUUUCUUCUUCUCCCGAACUCACUACUCCCCAGCACUAACAGACUCCCUCGAUAAGCUCCAAAUGGUUCAAAACUCAGCAGCCCAUCUUCUAACCCACACUAAAUCAUCCUGGCAGCAUAUCACCCCCAUCCUCUGUGAACUCCACUGGCUCCCUGUCUCCCACCGCAUGAAUUACAAGAUCCUCCUGGCCGAAAAAAGCUCUCCCCCACCUUGCUACCCCUUACCUCUCUGACCUUCUCUCCUACCAGACCUCAUGCUCUUUCCGCUCAACCACAGUUGGCCAACUUGUCAUUGGGGCGGCAGCGUAGCCUAGUGGUUAGAGCGUUGGACUAGUAACCGAAAGGUUGCAAGAUCAAAUCCCUGAGCUGAACAAGGUACAAAUCUGUUGUUCUGCCACUGUUCCUAGGCCAUCAUUGAAGAUAAGAAUUUGUUCUUAACUGACUUGCCUAGUUAAAUAAAGGUAAAAUAAAUAAAAAAUACCCAGGUCCAAGCUCCAGAGUUUCAGUGACAGGGCCUUGUCCAGGGUUGCUCCUAGGCUCUGGAACUCCCUUCCUCCAGCCAUCUGUGACUCUAAGUCCAUCAUCUUUCAGUCCUGCCUAAAAACCCACCUCUUCACCAUGGCCUACCACUGUUUCACACAUAUGCGCAACACCUGCUAUCUCACUCACACAUCACACCAUUUCCUUGGGCCCUUCUUACCUCUGUUUAUACCUGGUUCUAACAUGCAUUAUAUGUCCUGAUCUUGUCCACAGUCUGAUUAUUCCCACAUUUUCAGACAGGUGUAGACGAUUAAAAGAAGCAUUUUGAUCAGAUCUUUCUGACCACGUCUGGAGUUGACAGUAAAACCAUUUAAAUCAUCCUGCCUUCUAAAAUCAUUGACAGGUGGCACCAUUGACUUAUGGAAUAUAUAUGUCUUAAAAUAAAUAAAAAAGUAUUAUUUUGAAAGAAUAUCUGUCAAAGAAUUAGCAUACAAGGCGGGACCAGUAUAUCUGUUCACAAUGCGGACACAGUGGACUGAUAAGACCAUCAGAAUGUGGACAAGAUCAGGACAAAGGACGCAUGUUUGCACCAAAAAAUUUUGUUUAAUGUUUUUCUUCCUUUUCUUUAGUCUGCUGUUGUUUAGUUAGAUUAUUGAUUGUUUGUUAGUUUCUACAAUUGUAAAGCUAUGUAUGUUUCAUGUAUAAUUAUUGUUAUUAUUAAAGUAGAGGAGUUAGUUCAGGCAAGCAACAUUUCAACACAUUCUUUUCACAUAUCCUGUGUAGAAGUUUAUUUAUAAAAUGGGUGGUUCCAGCCCUGAAUGCUGAUUGUCUGAAUGCCUUGGUAUAUCAGACCGUAUGACAAAACAUUUAUUUUUACUGCUCUAAUUACAUUGGUAGCCAGUUUAUAAUAGCAAUAAGGCACCUCAGGGGUUUGUGGUAUAUGGCCAAUAUAUCACAGUUAAGGGCUGUAUCCAGGCACUCCGCAUUGCGUCAUGCAUAAGAACAGCCCUUAGCCGUGGUAUAUUGCCAUAUACCACACCUCGGGCCUUAUUGCUUAAAUAUACCGGAAUUUCUGGACUAUUAAGCGCACCUGAAUAUAAGCCGCACCCACUGAAUUAAAAUGUUUUUUUUAUUUUGAACAUAAAUAAGCCGCACAUGUCUAUAAGCCGCAGGUGCCUACCGGUACAUUGAAACAAAUGAACUUUACACAGGCUUUAACGAAAAACGGCUUGUAACAAAAAUAAAUAGGCUUUAACGAAACACGGCCUGUAACAAAAAUAAAUAGGCUUUAACAAAACACGGCUUGUAAAAAAAUAAAAAAAAUAGCAGUAAGCUUUAGUUGUCUUUUUGCCCUGAGUCAAUUCCUCACGCUGCUGUUUCCAACGUCUUAUCAUCGACUCAUUAAUACCAAGCUCCCGUGCAGCAGCUCUAUUUCCUUUUCCAACAGCCAGAUCAAUCGCCUUCAACUUGAAAGCUGCAUCAUAUGCAUUUCUCCGUGUCUUUGCCAUGAUGAGGGUGACGAAAUGACUACCGUAAUCAGAAUGAUGGGAAGUUUGAGAGCGCUCGAUUUAAUCUAAACAGUAAACAAAAAAGUUGUUUGACCUUAACCCGUUCGGCAAUUUCAUUGGUCUAAUGAAAGCUUCAUGCCGCCAAAAAACUGAGCACGUCACAGAAUGUGUUUUUUUGGAGAGAAAAAAAUUGAAAGUGGGAAAAAUCCAUAUAUUAGCCACUUCAUUGUUUAAGCCGCGAGGUUCAAAGCCUGGGAAAAAAAGUUGCGGCUUAUAGUCCGGAAUUUACGGUACAUGCUCACCUCUGCCAAUUGGAAACUGUUGCCCACUUGUCUGUCCCAUUUCCUUAAUAUGUUCUAUUUCACAGUGGCAAUCAACACCCAUACCCCCACACUACAACCCUCCAACCCUCCUCAACCAGGUUGAACUCCCAAUAUCCCCCACCACUCAGGAGCCCAGCUACACCCCCAUCCUCAACCAGGUUGAACCCCCAAUAUCCCCCACCACUCAGGAGACCAGCUACACCCACACCAAACCAAAGAAGACGGAGAGAAAGUCCUGUCACCCUCAAAAAACCCUCCAACUCACUGAGCAUGACAGUCAACCCCAUCCAAUCCUAUCCAACCCCAUCCAACCCCAUCCUACCCCAUCCAACCCCAUCCUACCUACCAACCCCAUCCAAUCCUAUCCAACCCCAUCCAACCCCAUCCUACCCCAUCCAACCCCAUCCUACCUACCAACCCCAUCCAACCCCAUCCCAUCCUACCCCAUCCAACCCCAUCAUACCUACCAACCCCAUCCUACCCCACCCCAUCCCAUCCUACCCUAUCCUACCCCAUCCAACCCCAUCCAACCCCAUCCUAAUCCUACCCACACC
rnacentral:lncRNA from 1 species